AGUGAAUAGAUACCCCGGUAGUCCACGCUGUAAACGAUGAAUGCUAGGUGUAGGUGGGGAUACUCAUCUGUGCCGCAGUUAACACAAUAAGCAUUCCACCUGGGGAGUACGGCCGCAAGGUUGAAACUCAAAGGAAUUGACGGGAGCCCGCACAAGCAGUGGAGUAUGUGGCUUAAUUCGACGCAACGCGAAGAACCUUACCGGAACUUGACAUCCUGAGAAGUCGGCUGUAAUGGCUGAUGUGCCCUUCGGGGAGCUUAGAGACAGGUGGUGCAUGGUUGUCGUCAGCUCGUGUCGUGAGAUGUUUGGGUUUAAGUCCCGCAACGAGCGCAACCCUUACGGUUAGUUGCUACGAAAGAGCACUCUAGCCGGACUGCCGUUGACAAAACCGGAGGAAGGCGGGGUACGACGUCAAAUCAUCAUGCCCCUUACGUUUCGGGCUACACACGUACUACAAUGGCGCAAACCAAACGGGGUAAGCGAGAUCGCGAGAUGGAGCAAACCCC
rnacentral:rRNA from 1 species